AAAGAAAUAUUUUUAAAAAAAGCUUCUAACUUUUUGAAAAGCAUAAAUAUGUUUAU
rnacentral:tRNA from 1 species